rnacentral:rRNA from 1 species
AUCAAACGCUGGGCGGCGCGCUUAACACAUGCAAGUCGUACGAGAAAGUCCGCAAGGAUGAGUAAAGUGGCGUACGGGUGGAGUAACACGUGGAUGAUCUACCUCCGAGUGGGGAAUACCGCUGGGAAACCGGCGACAAUACCGCAUAAGCCGAGAGGGGAAAGCAGCAAUGCCGCUGGGAGAGGAGUCCGCGGCCGAUUAGCUUUGUUGGUAGGGUAAUGGCCUACCAAGGCUUGCGAUCGGUAGCCGGCCCUGAGGAGGGCUCACGGCCACACUGGGCACUGAAAACACGGGCCAGACUCCUACGGGAGGCAGCAGUGGGGAAUCUUGCACAAUGGGGGGAAACCCUGAUGCAGCGACGGCCGCGUGAGCGAUGAAGCCCUUCGGGGUGUAAAAGCUCUUUCGGCAGGGACGAUAAUGACGGUAACCUGAAGGAAGCAGCUGCGGCUAACUACGUGCCCAGCAGCCCGCGGUAAUACGUAGGCAGCAAAGCGUUGUUCGGAGUUUACUGGGCCGUAAAGGGGUGUGUAAGGCGGCCUUCUAAGUUCGGUGUGAAAUCUCCCGGCUCAACCGGGAGGGGUGCGCCGGAAACUGGCAGGCCUAGAGUGUGGGAGAGGAAAGUGGAAUUCCUGGUGUAGCGGUGAAAUGCCGUAGAUAUCAGGAGGAAACACCCGGUGGUGUAGACGGCUUUCUGGACCAUAACUGACCGCUGAGACACGAAAGCGUGGGUAGCAAACAGGAUUAGAUACCCUGGUAGUCCACGCCCUAAACGAUGCAUAUUUGGUGUGGGUUCAUUCAGUUGAUCCGUGCCCGGAGCUAAACGCGUUAAAUAUGCCGCCUGGGGAGUAACAGUCCGCAAGGCUGAAAACUCAAAGGAAUUGACGGGGGCCCCGCACAAAGCGGUGGAGCAUGUGGUUUAAUUCGACGCAACGCGAAGAACCUUACCUGGGCUCGAACGGCUACGGCUACUCCUGGAAACAGGGGGUUCCCGCAAGGGAUCGUAGUCCGAGGUGCUGCAAUGGCUGUCCGUCAGCUCGUGUUCCGUGAGAUGUUGGGUUUAAGUCCCCGCAACGAGCGCAAACCCUUGUCCCUGUGUUUGCCAUUUAUGGAACUCGCAGGAGACCGCCAGGGAUAACCUGGAGGAAGGUUGGGGAUGAACGUCAAGUCCUCAUGGCCUUUAUGUCCCAGGGCUUACACACGUGCUACAAUGGGACGGUACAAAGCGCUGCCAACCCGCGGAGGGGGAGCUAAUCGCAGAAAAAACCGUUUCUCAGUUCGGAUUGCAGGCCUGCAAACUCGCCUGCCAUGAAAGCUGGAAUCGCUUAGUAAUGCUAUAUCAGAACGAUAGCGUGAAUACGUUUCCCGGGCCUUGGUACACAACCCGCCCGUCCACAUCACGAAAGUGGAUUGUACUAGAAGUCCCCUAUGCUAAUGGGCCCAAGGUAUGAUUCAUGAUUGGGGUGAAGGUCGUAACAAGGUAA